rnacentral:lncRNA from 1 species
UAUCAAACCAGUGUUGUGGUGCCUGAAAUUGGAUUUUUCUUGCAGGGAAUUUGGCAAGCACUUUUGCAGCGUCUGGGUAUUGUUUGAGCCAGCUCAUAUACGCGUUGCAGCUGAAGCCUCUCCAGUGGGGCAGGAGCAUGAAGGUGGCAACUGGAUCUGUGCUUUGGAGGGAGGAAUGCACUACGUGGCGCAUGAGUUUAAACAUUAUUU